GAGGAGGGGGUUCUCCCCCGCUCGGAGCGCGCGACUGGGGAAGAAGCUGGCGGGAAGCCGGGCCGCGCGCCGAGGAAUCGAUGAUUCGGCCUGUGGACCGGGUCACUGCGGCGGGACCCGUGGAGCGCCGAUAGCAUGGAUAGGCUCAGAGGGGCGCAGGGUUUUGGCGGCUUCCCGAGUUCCCCUCGCCGACCGCCAUGUCACAUCUUACGGAAGAGGCGGGGGCUGCCGCGGAGAGGAUAUUUUUUGUUUUGUUUUGUUUUCACAAGAAUCACCUGGAUGCUUCUAAAGAGGAUGUCUACCAGACCCCAUGCCACACUAAUUAGCUCAGAAGUGGGAACCCUUCGUGAGUCAUUUUUUGGAAUAAUUCUUAUUUAUUCUAAUGUUAAAGGCUGUUCUGGUUUGCUUUCUGUUACUGUGAUAAGACACUUACCAAAACCAACUUGGGAGGAAAGGGUUUAUUUCAUCAUACAAUUCCCAGGGCACAAUCCAUCCCUUGGGGAAGUCAGGGCAGCAACUCCAUGGAAGAACCCGGAAGCUGAACUGAAACAAAGACCAUAGAGGAACAGUAUUACUGGCUCAGUUCCUAGGACUUGCCCAGCUUGGUCCUUGAUCCAGGACCACCUGUUGUGCCUAGGGGUGGCACAAUGAGCUGGGCCCUCCCACGUCAAUCAUUAAUCAAGAAAAUAUUCCGCAGAUUUGCCUACAGGCCUAUCUGAUUGUGGCAGUAACUCAUUUGAGGUUUGUUCUUCCCAGGUCGUGACAAUACUGCACAGAAAGACUAACUCUUGGUUAUUUACUCAAGUGGGUCUGAUUUAUUCUGCAUUGUUUUGGUCUCCUGUUCUAAUCUAUGAGAGAUUAAUGUAAGAAGUAGAAGUAGUCCUGAACAAAGGACGUAUUCUGAAAAUCACAGAAAAUAUGGUGACAAAAAUGGAUGAGGAACGUUUGUCCUAAUCAACCUUUUAGAGGAGUCUCGCAAGGAAGAAAAUUGUUUUUCUGGCCUUGCUGACUCAGAAUAGUGCACAAAGCCACAAUCAGAUAUUAUCACUCUGUGCCAGUGUUGUUUCCAGCACACUUGUGGGAGGGCCGUUGCUUUCAGCGUCUCCAUGUUUUCAGUACCUGCCUUAGACCUGGUGGUCUGUUGGGAAUGGCCCCUAAGGCACAUCUAUUUACACACCUGGUCCCCAGGUGGGAGAACUCUUUGAGACAGCUCCUCCAUGGUGUCUGUCUCAGUUCAUCUUCCAGGUUCUCACUGACCAAUCCCCAGUUAAGUGUUUUUCCUUUUGUAAGACUGGUCUUGGUCAUGGUGUGUUUUCACCGCACACAACAGUGGCUAAGACAGACCUGGCUGUGUUGUUCUGAGUCAGAAGCCUGAGAGAUCCACGAAGGAACGAUAGGGGUAUGGUACGAUAGGGUGUCCAAAACACAGUAAGAUUGGUUAUGAUGGUUCUUAAAGGCAGUUGGUUAGUUCUGAAUAUAUUGAGUAUAUAGCUGUAAAUUAUCAUGAAGUACAUUAUUACUGUUCUUGGUUACAGGUUGAGUAAAAGUUUGAGUUAAGGCAGGCUUUAAACACCAUUUCCCAGAAAACCCAUUCCAGCACCAGAUGACUCUAGUUUGUGUCAAGGUGACAGAUACUAAUCAACAUGAGGACCAAUAGCAAAGUGGUUAAAACUGUGGCUGUAAAAUCAAAUUAACUGGACUCAAACGGCAGGUCUGCCAUCUCAAGGUAUUUGCAUCUUAGCCUGUUUGAGCCUCAGUAUUUUUAUCUGUAAAAUUGAAUCAUAAUUUAGCAUUAAGGUGUUAGAAGAUUAACUAAGUCAUCUAAAAUGUAGCACACUGCCUAUGGCACAGUGUCUAAUUUUAGUUACUGUUGAUAUACUUUUGUUACCUAUACUUCUAUAAUGGGUUUGAAUCCCAGUUCUAUGAUAUUCACAAUCCAGCAUAGCAUUCUGAAAAGCCAGAAAUAUCUUACUAAUGAACAUGUGGAAAGUUGGGGUGGUUUGAAUAGUAAUGGCCCCCAUAGACUCAUCUGUUGGAAUGCUUGUCCCAUAGGGAAUGGCACUAUUAGGAGGUGUGGCCUUGUUGGAGUGGGUGUGGUUUUGUUGGAGGAAGUGUGUCAUUAGUAGGUGGGUUUUGAGGAUUUAGAAGGUCAAGCCAGCUCUCUUCCUGCUGCCUGCCCAUCAGGAUGUAGAACUCUCAGCUCCUUCUCCAGCACCACGUCUGUCUGUAUGCACCUUGCUUCCCAUCAUAACAAUAAUGGACAAAAGAGUUGCCAUGGUCAUGGUGGUCUCUUCAUAACAAUAGAAACCCUAAGACAGAAGUUCUAUAUGAAUAUAUGUGUGUGUCUAAUCCUCCUGCCAGAAUUUGAGUGAAAAGCUGAAGUUGAGAGUUUUCACUGACUUAAGUCCCUGUAAGAUCUUCCGAAAUAUUGUUUCUUCACUUCGAAGAGGAAAGAAAAAACAAUAAUCAAGAGUGGUAAUGUAUACUUGUAAUGCUAGCACUGGUCAGGCUGAGGCAGAAGGGUCACAAAUUUGAGGGCAGUCUGAAUUACAUAGUGAUUUCAUGGCAGGCCUGGGCUACACAAGACUCUGGGGGGAUGUAGGGAGCAAGAGAACCAAUAACAGAACAAGCUGAGAAAUGUAUAGAAAAUGUGCUUGCCUCCCUCGUGGGAAAUACUGGGAGGAAGUCAGUAGAAAGCUGAAGGCUUCUAGCUAGGAAAGUAUUUCUUGCUUUAGUAGUCUGUCUCAGUAGUUCACUGGCCUUAGCUCAUGGCAAAAAAACAAAAAAC
ensembl:processed_transcript RIKEN cDNA E130307A14 gene